rnacentral:rRNA from 1 species
CGAACUGUGCGAACGUUAUUCGGAAUCACUGGGCUUAAAGGGUGCGUAGGCGGUUUUCUAAGUCACGUGUGAAAUCUUCCGGCUCAACCGGAAAACUGCGCGUGAUACUGGAGAACUUGAGUGAGGUAGGGGUGUGUGGAACUUCCGGUGGAGCGGUGAAAUGUGUAGAGAUCGGAAGGAACGCCAGCAGCGAAAGCGGCACACUGGGCCUUUUCUGACGCUGAGGCACGAAAGCUAGGGGGAGUGAACGGGAUUAGAUACCCCGGUAAUCCUAGCCGUAAACACUGAACACUGGAGGACGGGGGCUUCGGCCUUCGUUCUCGUAGCGAAAGCGUUAAGUGUUUCGCCUGGGGAGUAUGGUCGCAAGGCUG